GGGAGUGUUAAUUUUAACUCUAAGGUAGUUAAAUCUACUAUCUAAAAUUUGCUGUGUGGUUGUGGCAGUAAUGCACCUUCCAAGUUGAGUUCCUGACAGGCAAUAAAUCAGGAAGAAGAAGAAAGGGAAGAAGAACUGAAAGAGUCAAAGAGCUCAGAUUGUGUUUCUUCUGGACAAGAGUGUCUGCACUUUUGCAUGGUUUCUGCUGGAGAUCAAACUCUUCAGAUCCAUGAUGGAGAACAAAUACACUUCUAGAGAUCAGGAUUUGUUUACAGGAUGCAGUUCAGUUCAUCAGAAGAGAGCAGAAGCAGAGCCCAGCUGUGUGUCUAUGAAGAGUGACGCGUCUAUGGAGCCACCAAUAAAAUUUAAGAGUGGAAACACACGACCUGCUGUCAGGUAGAUCAUCUCUACACACACAUGAUCACACUGCAGCAUUUAUAUGAUCCUGUGUUUCUGGAAGAUCAGACAUUUACAAGUAUUACAUUUACAGGAGACUUUAAAACUAAAUGUCCACACACUAACAUCUGAUCAUUAGUGAAGUACUAAUAAAGCAUUAAUACUCAAACUGUUAGAGUUAGUAGAGUGAGUUUACAGGAUUUUACAAUAGUCAGCAAAGUGUGGAUAAUCAAGAGAAAGAUUUUAGACGAGAUGAAUGAACAAAUUCUGUGAGACAAAC